GACGAACGCUGGCGGCGUGCCUAAUACAUGCAAGUAGAACGCAGUUGCGCACGGGUGAGUAACGCGUAGGUAACUGCCUCAUAGCGGGGGAUAACUAUUGGAAACGAUAGCUAAUACCGCAUACUGUGAGCUGGACCUGCGUUGUAUUAGCUAGUUGGUGAGGUAAAGGCUCACCAAGGCGACGAUACAUAGCCGACCUGAGAGGGUGAUCCGGCACACUGGGACUGGGACACGGGCCAGACUCCUACGGGAGGCAGCAGUAGGGGAUCAUCGGCAAUGGAGGGAAGGCUGAACAAGCAAAGCCGCGUGAGUGAAGAAGGGUUUCGGAGCGUAAAGCUCUGUUGUUAGAGAAGCGGUAACUAAACAGAAAGGGACGGCUAACUACGUGCCAGCAGCCGCGGUAAUUC
rnacentral:rRNA from 1 species